rnacentral:misc_RNA from 1 species
UUCCAAUUCCAUAUGUCAAGCAAGUGAAGUUAUCUAAUGCAGGUGGUAGGCUCAUAAUCGCAUCUGAUGGAAUCUGGGAUGCCCUUUCCUCGGAAAUGGCAGCAAAAUCUUGCCAUGGGUUGCCAGCUGAACUUGCUGCUAGACNNNNNNNNNAAGGACAAGGGGACUAAAGGAUGACACGACAUGCAUAGUUGUUGACGUAAUUCCUCCUGACAAUUCAACACAGCCCUCAACUUCUCCCAAGAAGCGGAACAAGCUCAGAACCUUGUUAUUCAGGAAGAAAUCACAUGAU